rnacentral:rRNA from 1 species
GAGCGGCGAACGGGUGAGUAACACGUGAGCAACCUGCCCUAGGCUUUGGGAUAACCCUCGGAAACGGGGGCUAAUACCGAAUAUUCACUGCUGGACGCAUGUUUGGUGGUGGAAAGUUUUUCGGCUUGGGAUGGGCUCGCGGCCUAUCAGCUUGUUGGUGGGGUAAUGGCCUACCAAGGCGACGACGGGUAGCCGGCCUGAGAGGGCGACCGGCCACACUGGGACUGAGACACGGCCCAGACUCCUACGGGAGGCAGCAGUGGGGAAUAUUGCACAAUGGGCGGAAGCCUGAUGCAGCGACGCCGCGUGAGGGAUGACGGCCUUCGGGUUGUAAACCUCUUUCAGCAGGGACGAAGCGCAAGUGACGGUACCUGCAGAAGAAGCGCCGGCCAACUACGUGCCAGCAGCCGCGGUAAGACGUAGGGCGCGAGCGUUGUCCGGAUUUAUUGGGCGUAAAGAGCUCGUAGGCGGCUUGUCGCGUCGACUGUGAAAACCCGUGGCUCAACUGCGGGCCUGCAGUCGAUACGGGCAGGCUAGAGUUCGGUAGGGGAGACUGGAAUUCCU